rnacentral:rRNA from 1 species
AUGCAGUUUUUAUCUGAAGAAGAAGCUUAUUCCUUCUAUAACAAGUAUGCUUAUUCCAUGGGUUUUAGCAUCCGAAGAGGCAAUCAACAUAAAGUAAAAAAUUCUAGUACAAUACAACAACGGACAUUCACAUGUUCUCGUCAAGGAGUUCGUGCGGAAGAUAAAAGAGAGGAGAAAUUCAGUUAUAGUAGGCCUGAGACACGAUGUGGUUGUGAUGCACGUAUGAAGAUAAGUCUUAAUAAUGGGAUUUAUUAUGUAUACGAAUUUAAGGAAGCCCACAACCAUAGUCUUGCUACUGGAAAUAUGUCGCAAUACUUAAGAUCACACAGGAAAGUAACUGAAGCUCAACUAGCCAAUGCUGAGGCCGCAAAGUCAGUGGGCAUUUCAAAUAAAGCAACUAUUGAUCUAAUGACGAAAGAGGCAUGUGGACCUGAAAACCUUGGCUUUAUAAGCACAGACAUGAAAAAUCGUUUGUACUCAAAGAGAACACUAAAAGCAAAGGUGGGUGACACUGGUGGAGUGUUAGAAUAUAUGGAGAAGAAGGUUUCAGAAGAUGUCAAGUUUUUUUAUUCAAUUCAAGUUGAUGAGGAUGAUUUGAUAACUAAUAUAUUUUGGACGGACUCCAAAAUGGUCUCAGACUAUGCAUUAUUUGGUGAUGUCAUAUGUUUUGACACCACAUACAGGAAACUAGACGAUAGGCGUCCGUUUGGUUUAAUUGUUGGUGUAAAUAAUCACAAGAAAACAAUUGUGUUUGGUGCUGCACUUCUCUAUGAUGAACCAGCAGAAAGUUUUGCUUGGCUUUUUAGAACAUUUUUAACAGUAAUGUCUGGAAAGCAUCCACAUACAACUCUGACUGACGAAGAUGCGGCAAUGGCUAAGGCGAUCCGUUCAGUCCUGCCUCACUCUCACCAUAGACUUUGUGUGUGGCAUAUGAAUCAAAAUGCUAUCAAACAUCUUGGUGGAGUUUUACAGAUUACAAGAAGUUCAAUGCUGAUUUUCAGCAUUGUAUCUAUGAUAUUGAGGAGGAAGAUGAAUUUAUAA